rnacentral:rRNA from 2 species
GAUUAGCCAUGCAUGUCUAAGUACAUGCCGUAUUAAGGCGAAACCGCGAAUGGCUCAUUAAAUCAGUCAUGGUUCCUUGGAUCGUACCUUACUACUUGGAUAACUGUGGCAAUUCUAGAGCUAAUACAUGCAGCAGAGCUCCGACCUUCGGGGACGAGCGCUUUUAUUAGACCAAAACCAAUCGGACCUCGUGUCCGUCCUUUGUGGUGACUCUGUAUAACUUUGGGCUGAUCGCACGGGCCUGUCCCGGCGACGUAUCUUUCAAGUGUCUGCCUUAUCAACUUUCGAUGGUAGGUUACGCGCCUACCAUGGUCGUAACGGGUAACGGGGAAUCAGGGUUCGAUUCCGGAGAGGGAGCCUGAGAAACGGCUACCACAUCCAAGGAAGGCAGCAGGCGCGCAAAUUACCCACUCCCAGAACGGGGAGGUAGUGACGAAAAAUAACAAUACGGGACUCUUUUGAGACCCCGUAAUUGGAAUGAGUACACUCUAAAUCCUUUAACGAGGAUCCAUUGGAGGGUAAGUCUGGUGCCAGCAACCGCGGUAAUUCCAGCUCCAAUAGCGUAUAUUAAAGUUGUUGCGGUUAAAAAGCUCGUAGUUGGAUCUCAGUUCCAGACGGGUGGUCCUCCUACCGGUGGCUACUGCCUGUUCUGAACAGUCAGCCGGUUUCUCUUGAUGAUCUUCAUCGGUUGUCUUGGGUGACCGGCAAGUUUACUUUGAAAAAAUUAGAGUGCUCAAAGCAGGCGUGACGCCUGAAUAAUGGUGCAUGGAAUAAUGGAAUAGGACCUCGGUUCUAUUUUGUUGGUUUUCGGAACACGAGGUAAUGAUUAAGAGGGACAGACGGGGGCAUUCGUAUUGCGACGCUAGAGGUGAAAUUCUUGGACCGUCGCAAGACGAACUACUGCGAAAGCAUUUGCCAAGAAUGUUUCCAUUAAUCAAGAACGAAAGUUAGAGGUUCGAAGGCGAUCAGAUACCGCCCUAGUUCUAACCAUAAACGAUGCCAGCCAGCGAUCCGGCUGUGU